CAAAGCUGAGUCAGUGCAGUCUUGCAAGAGUUAUACCAACCUGUUCAUAAGAUUAUGUUCAUCAGUAAGGUUAGUCUGAACCCUGAGCUCGUGUGAGAAAGCUGGUGGGAAACUGUUAACUUUUUCCUCGUACAGUCUCAAACUUAACUUUUUCCUCUCAUGAGAAGAAAGAAAUAUCUCCCGUCUCUAUGAAACUCGGGUAGAAUUUUUCUUUUCUUAUUUGAUGGAGUUUCUUACAAAUUUUUUUAAGCUAAAUCUUUUCCAGUCUAUUGUAUUUGGUUUGGUAGGUUCUGAAUUGGGCGUUGGGUUUUAUUCUCAUUGUAUUUGGAUUGGUAGGUUUGAGUUGUGAAAAGGUUAGAGGGAAAUGGAAAGAGUCUAUCCAUUCUGCGACAUCCAAUAAUCAACUGAUUGAUGUCCGAGAAAAUUAGCAUUUCCGAUCCCAACUUCUUUUAUCUUGUACUGCCUCCGCUAAAAAAUGGUUCUGCCUAUUUUUUGGGGUAGUAUGCAUUACCUGAAUUCGAAAGACGAUGUUGUUAGCAGGCAUACUCAUCGAAAUCAUCAGUCAUGUUUUGCGUCUACAAAAUCCGAUUUUACUAUGCAAUAGGAUACUUCUGUGCAAGAAGAGUAAGGAAUGGUUAACGUGGGACCCCCAUGUUACCUGGUAGGAACAACCAGAUCUCAUUCGAAGACUUUGCACAUUUAGUUGGUCAACUCGUCGAGCCUACUCCCUUUCUCUUCUACUCAUCUCGGUUUCAAACUACCGUCGGUUACUGUACGAAGACACAACAUUUUUCAAUAACUGAAGAAAACCUGUUCUGAUUCUUCUUUCUAUCAACUCCAACCAAAUUUGGCAUUUAUACACACCCGUUACUGUAAAACUGUUGAUCUUUCGAUUUCAGAUUUCCUUUUGUAAAUUAUUGUUUUUUAAUGGUGGAAGAAGAAGAAGCUCUCCCACUUGAUGGAAAUGCUCAUAACAAGGAAAUUAGAGAAACACAAAAAGAGAGAGGAAUAAAAACAAGGUUAUGGGAUUUUAUGUUGGAACCUCUUUAUUGGUUUAAAAUGCUUGCUCAUGAACUGCAUUGGCGUUUUAUUUUUGGUGUUGUUAUUAUCUAUGGAAUGAGUCAGGGUUUAGGUGGAAGUUUGUUUAAUGUUAGUUCUGAUUAUUACUGGAAAGAUGUCCAGAAAGUUCAGCCAUCUGAAGCACAAGUUUAUUCUGGAGUUAUUGGUAUUCCCUGGAUUGUUAAACCACUUUGGGGUAUUCUCACUGAUGUCGUUCCAAUUGCUGGAUAUCGAAGACGACCCUACUUCAUUUUAGCUGGUCUUCUUGGUGUGGCCUCCACACUCCUAUUGUCACUCAAGAAAAAGGUGGAUGUGAUGUUUGCAUUGCUAUCUAUGACGGCAGUGAGUGCUGGCGCAGCCAUAGCAGAUGUAACAAUAGAUGCCUGUGCAGCAGAGAAUAGUAUGGCGCACCUUUCCCUCGCAGCGGACAUACAAAGCUUAUGUGCAUUUUGCUCUUCCAUUGGACAGCUUGUCGGAUUCACGAUUAGUGGAUUUAUUGUUCAUCAAAUUGGCCCUAAGGGAGUGUUUGGAGUGCUGAGCAUUCCUUUUGUUCUGGUUUCUUCGGUUGGAAUUCUGCUCAAAGAACAGUAUGUUCCCAAUUUCGCCUACAAACAGGUAUACCAGAAAUUCAUCGACGCCAGUAAAGCUACUUUUACAACAUUAAAAUGCGGGGAUGUGUGGAGACCAUGUCUUUAUAUGUACUUAUCUUUUGCACUAAGCUUGAACAUCCAUGAAGGAAUGUUCUAUUGGAUUACAGACCCGAAAGCUGGACCGGCGUUGUCGGAGGAAAGUGUUGGAUUAAUGUUUUCGUUUGGCUCAAUAGGUUCCCUUCUUGGUUUGUUACUAUACCAGAAAGUUCUCAAGGAUUACCCAUAUCGUGGUGUACUUUUUUGGGCUCAAUUGCUUCAUGGUAUCAUUGGAAUGCUGGAUUUGAUAUUGGUAUUGCGGUUGAACUUGAAACUGGGUGUGCCAGAUAAAUACUUUGUUGUGUUGGACGAAAUUGUAUCUAAAUGUACUGGCCGUAUAAAACGAAUGCCUCUUCUUGUGAUAAGUUCCAAGCUAUGCCCCCCCGGUAUCGAAGGCACUUUCUUUGCUUUGCUGAUGUCUAUCGACAAUUUUGGUUCCCUCACAUCAUCAUGGGGAGGAGGACUCCUACUUCAUGUCUUAAAUGUUACCCGGUCGAAGUUUACUAACUUGUGGCUUGCAAUCUUAGUACGCAACAUAGUAAGAUUACUUCCAUUGGCUCUGCUAUUUUUGGUGCCCAGAAGUGAUCCCUCCUCGUCAAUUCUACCAGCCAAAAUUACCAAAGCAAAAGAAGAUGAAGACGUUGACAAAGCUGGCAAUAUUGAACUUGUUUCCUUGAUAGGCAGCACGCGGUGAACCGAGAGUAGAAACCUGCAGUUGGCAUGUAUGGUUCAGCGAACAUACCAUUUGGGGAGACGGAAACCGCGUGGUUCUCUUUGUAUUAAGAAAUGCCAAUCUCAUUCUCAGUUGCUAUAAAGAAGAUCUUGUGUAUUCAGGGUUCGCGCAGACGUAUAUUGGUGCCUUCUGAGCUGGGAUUUGCAUAGAGAUGGUCGUAAUGGGUGUCAAAGAACUCAGGGAAGUAGUUUUAAAAACAAAAUAGAUCACCAAAUUCGUUGGUCAAAUUCUAGCUAUACAUCUUCUUUCCCUUCCCAGAUCAGGUGACGGAACUCCUUCACUAGAGAAACAGUGUACUUCGCUUACAAGUAUGUUUAUGUCCAUACUAUAAUCUCAUUAUU